UCACCGCUUGCGCGGGCAGUUCCAUUAGAGUCCCCGGCCGAACCGCUGGCAACUAAUGGUAGGGGUUGCGCUCGUUGCGGGACUUAACCCAACACCUCACGACACGAGCUGACGACAGCCAUGCAGCACCUGUCUCACGGUUCCCGAAGGCACAUCCGCAUCUCUGCAGACUUCCGUGGAUGUCAAGCCCAGGUAAGGUUCUUCGCGUCGCGUCGAAUUAAACCACAUGCUCCGCUGCUUGUGCGGGCCCCCGUCAAUUCCUUUGUGUUUUAGCCUUGCGGCCGUACUCCCCAGGCGGGGUGCUUAAUGCGUUAGCUGCGGCACGGAAAUCUCGCGAUCCCCACACCUAGCACCCACCGUUUACGGCUAGGACUAC
rnacentral:misc_RNA from 1 species